rnacentral:rRNA from 1 species
UACAGAGGGGGCGAGCGUUGUUCGGAAUUACUGGGCGUAAAGGGCGCGUAGGCGGCCUGCUAAGUCGAACGUGAAAUCCCCGGGCUCAACCCGGGAACUGCGUCCGAUACUGGUGGGCUUGAAUCCGGGAGAGGGAUGUGGAAUUCCAGGUGUAGCGGUGAAAUGCGUAGAUAUCCGGAGGAACACCGGUGGCGAAGGCGGCUUCCUGGACCGAUCACUGACGCUGAGGCGCGAAAGCUAGGGGAGCAAACGGG